AAUCAUCACCUUAAGAAUGGAACAGAUUCUAUGGAUUUGCAAACAUUGUGUUUAUGUCCUCUGGUUCUAAUGUACUCCUGCAAAUCCUUCAUCUAAUCCUACUCUUUGGAACCUCAUCACUAUCACUAGUCCACUUCAUAGUUGAAAAAAAAAACCCACCCAAAACAGAGCAACUGCCAGUAGUUCUAAUGAGAUUCAUCAUGAGGGUGUUUUGGAUCUCCACCAUGGCCACAUUUUGAACCCAAUCCAUUAAAAUUUCAUGAAUGUUGAACACCUAAUGAAUAAAAAUACAUACAUGCUUAGUUUGAAAAUAAUCCAUGUGUAAAAAUAUAACAUAUAGCGGCCUACAAAUACAUAUAUCGUCAGUUUGAAAAUUUACCAUAUGAUUCAAUGUAACUGAUAUAAAGACAUCGAUAUUUAAAGAGUCGAUUCACUAUUAGUAAGGACGUUGAUAUAUGAAGAGACAAUUCACUAUUACUAGGACAUCGAUAUCUGAAGA
rnacentral:lncRNA from 1 species